GACAGAGAGGGAAAGUGUUUAGCGUAUGGACUAGGUGUAAAGCGCAGGUAGGCGGAAUUUUUUGUUUUUUUUUCAAAUAGUGUGAUUCGUCAAACAAAGAAAAAGAAAAAAGAUUUCUAUAAUAAUUAUAGAGAGUAUGGAAUGGCCUGAGUACUGGUAGAAUAGAAGCAUAAAGGUUGGAACGCCAAUAACGAAGGAUGUACUCUUAUAAUAUAUUGACGCUGAGCUGCGGAAGUGUGGAGACCAAAUGAG
rnacentral:rRNA from 1 species